AUGUAUUCAAAGAUGUAAUUAAAGAAGGGUUUCCUGAGUUGAAAAAGGAUGAAGGUGCAGAUCAGAAGGGCUCACUGUGUUCAAAGUAAAUUAAAUGAGAAGAGAACUUCGUUACACGUGAAUUACAGGGAUGGAGAAAGAGACUAUAAGCGUUCAUGCAGAAAAAACAGAUGGAGGUGAAAAACAGGGGAACGGCGCUGGGCUGGCCUUAGACUGACUUCCCUUUCCCCUGGACACAGUGGACCCCUGGCUACAGAAUUUGGAUGGAAAAAGUUGUGACCUGACCUUUUUAUUUCUAGCCAAGCCUUAAAAAUAUCUGUUAAUAUAAAAAUAAGGUACUUGCUAAUACACUGAAAAUAGGCCAACCAUCUAAUUUUUCUGGGAAAAAAAUGACCCUAUAGAGACAUAGUUUCAUAUAUGAAAUUUAAGAUUAUAAACCAGGACAUAAGAUGACUGCUAUAAUACCCCAUGGCACAGAGAGGGGCAAGAACACAGUUAUGUCCCAGUUCCAGAGGCAAACUGUCAUCCGGGCAAAUGAGUUCAAGCUGACCACAUCAACAAAGCUGCAGGAAUGUGGAGAAAUUGUCGCCUCUGUCUACCUUGCCAUCUGGAUGGAGCCUGAAAGUAAAUAUUUCAUUAUAAGUUGCUACUCAUUGUUAUGGGAAUAUCUUUUUAACUGGCCA